UAAUACAGAGGGUGCGAGCGUUAAUCGGAAUUACUGGGCGUAAAGGGCGCGUAGGUUGCGUAUUAAGUGACAUGUGAAAUCCCUGGGCUUAACCCAGGACGUGCAUGUUAGACUGGUACGCUAGAGUACGAUAGAGGGUAGUGGAAUUUCCGGUGUAGCGGUGAAAUGCGUAGAUAUCGGAAGGAACAUCAGUGGCGAAGGCGGCUACCUGGAUUGAUACUGACACUGAGGCGCGAGAGCGUGGGGAGCAAACAGGAUUAGAUACCCUGGUAGUCCACGCUGUAAACGAUGAAAACUAGAUGUUGGUCAGCAUGACUGAUGAGUAUCGAAGCAAACGCGAUAAGUUUUCCGCCUGGGGAGUACGGCCGCAAGGUUA
rnacentral:rRNA from 1 species